UACGUAGGGGGCGAGCGUUGUCCGAAGUUACUGGGCGUAAAGCGCGCGUAGGCGGGCCUUUAAGUCUGGUGUGAAAGGUUGAGGGCUCAACCCCAACAGUGCACUGGAUACUUUAGGCCUUGAGUUGGGCAGAGGAGAGUGGAAUUCCUGGUGUAGCGGUGAAAUGCGUAGAUAUCAGGAGGAACACCGGUGGCGAAGGCGGCAUCCUGGACCGACACUGACGUCAUGCACGAAAGCGUGGGGAGCAAACAGG
rnacentral:rRNA from 1 species